AAGGAUCUUCAUUAAGGUGGGUGGAAUAGUAUAACAAUAUGCUAAAUGUUGUUAUAGUAUCCCACCUACCCUGAUGUAUCUU
rnacentral:pre_miRNA from 10 species